rnacentral:rRNA from 1 species
AUUGAACGCUGGCGGCAGGCCUAACACAUGCAAGUCGAACGGUAACAGGAAGAAGCUUGCUUCUUUGCUGACGAGUGGCGGACGGGUGAGUAAUGUCUGGGAAACUGUCUGAUGGAGGGGGAUAACUACUGGAAACGGUAGCUAAUACCGCAUAAUGUCGCUAGGCCUAAGAGGGGGACCUUCGGGCCUCUUGCCCUCGUAUGUGCCCAGAUGGGAUUAGCUAGUAGGUGGGGUAACGGCUCACCCAGGCGACGAUCCCUAGCUGGUCUGAGAGGAUGACCAGCCACACUGGAACUGAGACACGGUCCAGACUCCUACGGGAGGCAGCAGUGGGGAAUAUUGCACAAUGGGCGCAAGCCUGAUGCAGCUAUGCCGCGUGUAUGAAGAAGGCCUUCGGGUUGUAAAGUACUUUCGGCGGGGAAGAAGAGAGUAAAGUUAAUACCUUUGCUCAUUGACGUUACCCACAGAAGAAGCACCGGCUAACUCCGUG